GUUAGCUGGCCCACUAUGCAGUUAAAUGGAAAGGUUUCUCCCCCAGCACUUGUCCCAUGUUGGCUGGCCCACUAUGCAGUUAAAUGGAAAGGUUUCUCCCCAGCACUUGUCCCAUGUUGGCUGGCCUACUAUGCAGUUAAAUGGAAAGGUUUUUCCCCAGCACUUGUCCCAUGUUGGCUGGCCCACUAUGCAGUUAAAUGGAAAGGUUUCUCCCCAGCACUUGUCCCAUGUUGGCUGGCCUACUAUGCAGUUAAAUGGAAAGGUUUCUCCCCAGCACUUGUCCCAUGUUGGCUGG
rnacentral:lncRNA from 1 species